rnacentral:rRNA from 1 species
AUGAACGCUGGCGGCAUGCCUAAUACAUGCAAGUCGAACGAACUUCCGUUAAUGAUAGUUGAUGCUUGCAUUAACUUGACUUAACAUCGAAGUGAGUGGCGAACUGGUGAGUAACACGUGGGAAACUUGCCCUGAAGUAGGGGAUAACAUUUGGAAACAAGUGCUAAUACCGUAUAACAAUGAAAACCGCAUGGUUUUCAUUUCAAAGAUGGUUUUCAUCGCUUCAGGAUGGUCCCGCGGCGUAUUAGCUAGUUGGUGGGGUAACGGCCUACCAAGGCGAUGAUACGGAGCCGACCUGAGAGGGUAAGCGGCCACAAUGGGACUGAGACACGGCCCAUACUCCUACGGGAGGCAGCAGUAGGGAAUCUUCCACAAUGGACGCAAGUCUGAUGGAGCAAUGCCGCGUGAGUGAAGAAGGGUUUCGGCUCGUAAAACUCUGUUGUUAAAGAAGAACGAGUAUGAUAGGAAAUGCUCAUACUGUGACGGUAUUUAACUAGAAAGUCACGGCUAACUACGUGC